rnacentral:rRNA from 1 species
GACGAACGCUGGCGGCGUGCUUAACACAUGCAAGUCGAACGGAAAGGCCCUGCUUUUGUGGGGUGCUCGAGUGGCGAACGGGUGAGUAACACGUGAGUAACCUGCCCUUGACUUUGGGAUAACUUCAGGAAACUGGGGCUAAUACCGGAUAGGAGCUCCUGCUGCAUGGUGGGGGUUGGAAAGUUUCGGCGGUUGGGGAUGGACUCGCGGCUUAUCAGCUUGUUGGUGGGGUAGUGGCUUACCAAGGCUUUGACGGGUAGCCGGCCUGAGAGGGUGACCGGCGACAUUGGGACUGAGAGACGGCCGAGGCUGCUACGGGAGGAAGCAGUGGGGAAUAUUGGAGAAUGGGCGGAAGGCUGAUGCAGGAGCGCCGCGUGCGGGAAGACGGACUUCGGGUUGUAAAACGAUUUCGCCAGUGACGAAGCGUGAGUGACGGGAAUGGGUAAAGAAGCACCGGCUAAAUACGUG